UUUGCAUUUAGAAAAAGAAAAUGUUUGGUAUAAACGUUGUAGUGGAAAAACGUGUAGUGUAAAGUAUGACCUGUUAAAUUGCCCUUUUCAUGAUAUAUCCUCCUUUCUGAGGGGUUUUUGUUUGAGGCAGUUUCAGCACAGGCAUUCUUCCAACAUGUUCCAACAAAUCCUCGACCACAUUCCACUAAAACAAGCUGAAACACAGAAUCUUCCUCUACCUGUUCGUCUUAUUAUUAGUCUUUAGGUCAUGUGAUUCGACACUCUUGUUUAGAAUGCAGGUUAUUUCUAAGUGUUUUGAACCAUCAAAGUUGAAGCGCUGAUUACCUUUAACCCAGAGCAGUGUGUCAUAAUGACAAGUUGUUUACAUCACCGGCUGCAACCACGGAGAACAUAGCCUCUUCAAACAGGCCUGGAGUAAAGAAAACCUGCUUUGAAUCUUCCCUCUGAGCUUUACCUUUGAACUGUGGCGUCGUCCCGACGAACACAAGAUUUUGUGAGAUUGACAAAAAAAAGUGUUGCGUGAAAUGUGGGAGAAUAAUACCACCAUGGUCUUUUAUUAUUUCACCAUGGAGAUUCCCGUGUUGUGUCUGGGCAUCAUUCUGUGGAUAUUUUGUUGCCAUUUAGCCAAAAAACGCAGAGAGGCAGAGGACUGGUCUGCACGAGCUGAAAACUCUCCAUCUGUGUAUAUUAUCCCUAUAUACGGCGAGGAAGAGGAGGAGGAGACGGAGGAGGAGGUUAUGGACAUUUAUGAAGCCUAUUUCCAAUCAAUGAAUCAGGAAUCUUCCAUUUACUGCUCAAGAGACACAACACCACCUCCUCCGUACACGUUUGAACCUCCCUAUUACUCGGACCCUCCCCCGUCAUACUCAGACCCACCGACUUAUCCAGCAGACGACUGAUCCCCAAAUCUUCCUCAUACAUGUAUCUGCCUGCUUCAUAUUGAAGAGACGAUUAUUGGGAUCAAAAGUGGCUCUUUGGGAUUUGUGCUUGAGUAAUAACACUCUGAGAUGACUUCAGGAUAUGUCGGCGUGUCUGCACCAAUAAAACAUUUAGACAGUGAGGAAAUAAGAGGAAA
rnacentral:lncRNA from 1 species